UACGUAGGGGGCGAGCGUUAUCCGGAUUUACUGGGCGUAAAGCGCGUUAAGGCGGUCGGCAAAGUUGGUUGUGAAAUCUCAGGGCUCAACCCUGAAAUUGCGACCAAUACUGGUCGACUAGAGUGUGAGAGAGGAAGGUGGAAUUCCCGGUGUAGUAGUGAAAUGCGUAGAUAUCGGGAGGAACACCAGUGGCGAAGGCGGCCUUCUGGCUCAUAACUGACGUUGUAGCGCGAAAGCGUGGGGAGCGAACCGG
rnacentral:rRNA from 1 species